CUAUAAAUAUGCUCACAGCCCACCUCAAUUUCAACAAAACUAAAUUCAGAACAAGGAAACAAUACUAAACGGUGAUCAAAAGGAGAAAAAAUGGCAUCUAUUUGUCAAGGUAAGAGUUCAUGGCCAGAGCUUCUUGGAGUAGACGGGAAGUGCGCUGUCGCAACGAUCGAGAGAGAAAAUCCUCUGGUUGAAGCUAUAAUUGUGCCAGAAGGAUCAUCAGUCAUCGAGAAUUUUCGGUGCGAUAGGGUUUGGGUUUGGGUUGAUAAAGAUGGCAUUGUCUAUAUAGUCCCUGUAAUUGGAUAAGAUCCAAAAACUGCGAUAUAUUCUUGUGAUAAUUGUCAAGGAAUGCUAAUAAAAGAAAAAAAAUGAAAUAAGAAGCUUGGAUCCAAGCUCCAUGUGUAAAUUGCAAUCUUGAUAAAAGUUGUAUUUCUCUAUGUAUUUCCAUUGAACUUAAUUACAAAUAUACACCACCCUUAAUAGAGUUA